GCAGGACACAGUGUCUCCCGGGAGGGGUGAGAGCAUCCAUUCACAGUUGGAUCCCCCAAACUGAACACGUCUCUCUGGCUCUGGUCUCACCACCACCAAGUGGAGGAAUGAUCUUGAAAUGUUGAAGUUCCACCUGUGAACCCCUAUCACCUGCAGGACCAGUGAGAACAUUUAAAGAGACUUGUUUUGAGCGAGCUGUGGCUGCAAGAAUAGAAAAAAGCGGUGGGUCCGUGUGGUUUCCUGCACUCACUGCUCCCUCGGCGGCUAAUUACAAGUCAAUCCGUUUCACACAAUUUCAAGUUUUAAUUCCCAGCUUUCACGGUCCUCUUAAAACGUGAUUCAGCAGAAGUAUUAACAUAAAGCACUUCACUGUAGAAUCUUUAGCACAUCGUGGAGAGAUGGGGUCAUACCUUGGUGCUGGUUUAGUGUAGUGAAGAGAUAUUACAAAGGGCGUACGUGGAUUCUUGCUCGGGAGAGUUGGCGGACGUCAAAGAGCAGCUUGCGACGUGAUUGCUAAUGUGCUCAUGGCAGGAGCGCCGGGCGCUUCAGUGGGCCGAUGCUCUAUCCAGUGCCUUUAAUGCAAAUAGCUUCCCAUACGGCAAUGAAAUUGAAGUGAAAAAUUCAAUUUAUUCUCUUCCUCUGCCCUUCCCUGAUGUUGUCCUAGUUUGGACACUUUCUUUCAAGAGCUACCGAUAAGGCCUAAUGCUCAUCAGAAUGCAAAUUUACAAAGAGCCUUGUAUGACGAUUGCCUCUGACGUGCAUGGAAAUGUGAUGAACUCACUUGCUCCCGUUAAGUUACUUUUCACGUGUCUACUACAAUUUCCAAUUCUUGCAAAUUUUGGUAUGACAUGCCAGCAGAACAUUCACAUGAUCCUUUUCUUUCACAAUUUGAGGUGGGUUUUUGUAGAAUUUGCAGGUAGUUUGAAAUGAUCAUUUGAAUAUUUAUUCAUCCCUGAUCUCUGGGAUCUUCCGUGACUGCGGUUGUGGAGUGGGUGUCGGAAAAUCACUGCCCCCACAGGUGUGUCCCCCUGUAAGGUCUCAGCGUUACUGUUUUCAUAUUUAUUGAGCACACAUUUCUGGUUAUUUUUUUUGAAAUCAUAUACUUAGUAUUUAAAAGUUAUUUAAAGAACAAAUUGAUGAAUGGAAAAGUAUAAUCUCCAGAUUAACGGUAGAUCACAGUCAACUAUGAAAUCUAGCAUCAUUCUCCGUGGAUUUGAAAACAAGAUUUCUCUUUUUCUUUUUUUUAAAAUAUAAUUUAUUGUCGGGAUGCCUGGGUGGCUCUGUUGGUUCAGUGUCUGACUUCGGCUCAGGUCAUGAUCUCACAGUUGGUGGGUUCGAGCCCCAGGUCGGGCUCUGUGCUGACACCUUGGAGCCCAGAGCCUGCUUCAGGUUCUGUCUUUCCCUCUCUCUCUGCCCCUCCCCUGCUUGCAGUCUGCCUCUCUCUCUCUCUCUCUCUCUCUCUCUCUCUCUCUCUCUCUCAAAAAUAAGAAUUAAAAAAUAUAUAUACCUUAUUGUCAAGUUAGCUAACAUGCAGUGUAUACAGUGUGUUCUUGGCUUCAGAGGUACAGUCCCAUGAUUCAUUGCUUUGGAGCGCACGUUUCGUGUCCAUCCAGUUUCACGUGGCUGUGUGGCACCUGGGAUGUGUGGGACCUCCCUGUAGGCACCUGCCCUUGGCAGCAAGGACCUGGACACCAGUCAGAAGGCCGGGAGCAGCGGCUGUCCACCGAGCUGUAUGGUGGGUAGGUCCCCAAGGUGCGCGUGGCAUCUGCCCCCCUCAGGGCCGUCUCCCUUAUAGCUGAUACUUGUCUGUUCUCUGUGGCUGUGCGGUGUCCAGGCAAACUGCGGACUGCAGGGCCCAUGUCCUCCUCAGCCCCGUGUUAUGCUCUCGUAGGGUAGCUCUGAGCAAUCUCUCUUCUUCCCUGUGCCCGCCACACAGUCUACGAGCCAGGUGUUGUCCCAUCCAGGGAUCACGGCCGGAGUCCUGGGGGUUACCCCCCGUCUUCUGGGGUGGAAAGCAGGUCCUCGAGUGAGGAAAUCGCUGAAGCCCCACCCGCAGCCCCGGGAGUCUGUGCCUCCACACAUCUGACCCAGCGGUGUUUAGAUUAUCAGCUAAUUGGGCAGAGUUGUUUUGGGCAAGAGAACCUGUCAACACCUGUCCGAAGACCCUACCGUUGAGUCCCUCGUGUGGCCCAUGUCUCUGUGGACCUACUGAAUGAAACUUGGUAGCUUUGGAACAAUUGCUUUUAUUCAAGAAAAACACCUUAUUUGCUUUGUUUCACUUUAUGCCAUUUACCCGUUGGGCUUAAUGUAACGGAUACAAAAGUCCAAAAACGCUAGCACAGGAAUGGUUUACAUUCCCUCUGGAACGUAUCUUUGAAUGAUUUAACAACAGGAAGCCUGCCUGAACAUGACUUAACUAAACCAGUAUUUAUUUGGGCUCAUGAUACUUUUUAUUAAUCAUAGAGGGCUGAACGGAUCUAACUUCGCUCAAUCGGUUCAGUGAGCUGUGAUUAUAAAAUUACAGUUUUGGGAAGAAAUUAUUUCGUGUGAUGGAAAUUUCAAUAUUUGGAGCUCAGAGUUCUGGCUUAAUGAACCACUUAACCUAAUCUUUACUUUUUAAAGGGCGCCAUCAGCAAUAACCCUAUACUUGCUCUUAAAAUCAGGGCAAGAACCACAGGUUAUCUUUCCUGUUUCAAAUUGUUAGGCAAAUAUCUAAUCGUGAUUAAUAGGGUGCUAGUUUUAGGUGCAAAGUGUACAGAGGAGACACGUAAUAAAUGUGUCCUCUUUGUCCACAAGAAGAUCAAGGCAUCUGGGCAACUUCAGUAAAGAAAUCAAGAAAACCACAAGAAGCAGAUCCAGUGGAUCUGUUCUCUGCUCUCUGCGUCCAAGUCUCGCAGCAGAGCAGUCAUCUUAAGUCAUUACAGAGGCCUGGGAAAACCACACACAACCCACAUUGGUAGACGGUGUCGGUGUCUAUAGAACGGGGAGCGCCCAGGGCACUCCCAGCCCCGAAGUGCCACCGAGGACCUGGAACUCUAGAGGAUCCAGAACUCCAGAGCAUUCUAGAUGCCAUGGUCUUACGAGGGGCGAGGGGGAGCAGGACUGUCCCUGUUUAUGAAGACUGCUCCUCUCUUCCCCCGCUCCACCCCCUCUUUCUUUGUCUGCCCUGCAGAGCACAUAGGGCUGGGCGCUGCUGGGGGAUAAUAAACGUAUCAGACAUGAUCACUGCAGCAGGGCGCCGAAGGCCUCCCGUGACAGCAGACGGACAGAGCUUUGGGAAAACACAGGGACUGUCCUGUCCUCCAAGAAGAAACGCUCGUCCCAGGGUGUGGAGGUGACGGAGCAAAGGGGCUCCUUCCCGCAGGCAGGUGCACGGUCCGCGUCAAAGCAAAGGUCUUCUUACAGAGUCUUGGGACAGGGGCUCCUGUGCCACUGCCCUCCCUCUGCCCCCUCUGCUGCUCAGCCAAAUCCAACUCCCCCUCGAGGCCCUGCACCAUGCCACCUUCUCCACGAAGCAUCCUGGAAUCUCCCCCCUCGACAGCAUCUUAUACCUCUGAGUUUCUAACACACCUGCCUGCCUGUCUCCUACUACACGUGAUGUUUCCCCCUUGCGAUAGUCUUGUCCUGGUCUCACUUCUCCAUCCGAGGUAACUGCAGUCUGGGUCUACACUGUACCCUGGUCACUCUCCACUAGCCUACAUUCUGUGCGGUGGUGCCUGGCUCACAGCACACAUCCGGUAAAUAUCCGUAGGAUGUUUACGUUAACGACACAGUCCAAGAAGAAGGCCCCAGGGGUUCAAAGCAGGCUUUAAAAAAGGUGUUUAGGAAACGCAAUUGAAGGGCAGCAGAAAGUCACCUUCUGCCAUAGUUUGCUGGAGAAUGUGCUCUCCAACCGAAAUUUAAAUAUUGUGUAUCCUGAGAUGAUGUAAUCUUACAGUUGAUUCGGGUCAUUGCAGGCCAUCAAACUGACUUUCGUAUAUGGUGCCCUUAUGGCACUCUUCCCAGAAUUUUCUGGAAUGUCUCCUAUGACAAGACAGUCAUGACUUAUUGCAAUGCUGUUUCGGUGCUGAAGCCUUGAACUGUCGGAUCUUUCAUGUUUAGUUUGAGAAAGAACUUGUGCCCUUUUUUCUUUGCUCUCUUAAUCUCCAGUGGCUUAUUAAGGAUACCCCAGGUCUGUAUUUUAUCAGCUCAGGAGUUCUCUCUGAGGACAAAUGGGUGUCCCGGCCAAAAUGGACCAGAAUGAAGCAAAUGGCCAAGGAUGGGACUCAGCACUUUAUAAGACACAGAAGAAGUGAUUCCCGAGAACACAGAUGGGAAGGACGCAAUGUAGGGAGGAAGUUUCCAGUAAAAGAAUCUCGUGAUUUAAGAAAUUCAGACAGCACGGCCCGCCCUGAAACACAGCUCUUGACAGGAGAUGCCCUCUGACACCUCAUUUCACCUCUUUACUCUGUGGGGCCUGGGGAAAGAGAGUGACCCCGAGCCUUGGUUUACUUUGAUAAUGGAGAUGAUGCUCUCUACCCACCACCCACGGUGAGCCCUUGACGAGGUACGUGAAGAACUUAGCGUAAGAUUUGGCACAGGAUACGUGCUCGUACGUGCUCGUACGCCUUCGUAUGUGCUGGCUUGGAGAUUUCUUCCUUUAAAAAAUACCCAUUUUAAAGCUGAUUCUUGGAAAAUAAUGACUGGGUUAAAAGGACACAUGGAAUAUGGGAAAUUCGGAUAAGGGAGCUCUUGUGCUGGACCACCUUACAAACAUCAGUGGCUGGCGACCCUGGUUGCUCUGCACACAGAGGGAAGCCAGAACUUCUAGGAUGUGUCCUGAGGGUGCAGAUUCGGAAGAUGACAGGAUAAAAUUGGCGGACACUCGGUGGAGCUAAGACUGACAACUGUUACCGCUGCGUCUUCCUCCUGUCUCCUCCUCCGCGGUGCUCCGCUGCGGAGCCACGGGACGGGACGGGGGACGUGCGUCCUGACUGACCACCCGGCAGGUCUGCGUGCCCCAGGCCCUGCAAGAACUCACGCCGAGCACACACACACAGUGGGGACGGCAGCCCGGCCCCGAUUUCCCACCAGCAUGCACAAUUUAGUUUUCCUGUGUCUUUGGGAGAACGAUUGUAAGUCCCUGUGACGAGAAAAACAAUUUUGCCAAGCCGACGCACAUACCGAUGAGUGAGAACAACGUGCGGGAAGUAAGCAAGUAUUCAGCACCACAAUUGUGAGCAAGCCCUCCACUGAAUGUGCCCCAAGCAGACAACAGAUUGGGACAACCGCAUGGGGAUGGUGCGAGACACCAGCGGCCAGAGCCGGCCAGGGAGCAGGUUCAAAUGGUUUACCCUGGCAACGCUUCCUCCAAAAUACUCAGGGUCUGAUGGCGGCCCAGGUAAACAACAUGUGGACUUGGAUGACUCAGAGAGAAAUGUGGGGGAAGGAAUUAGUGAUUUAAGGGCAAUCUCUCUCUUUCCACAUAGGUUAGCACCAUAAGUUCUAACAACUAGAGAUCCAUACACCAAUUAUUUUCUUGGCUUCUAGGAUCCCAGGGCCAUUUUACUCUGUACGUUAUGUGAAGUCCAUAUAAUUUCAUCACUGCAUUUCCAUUUCUAGAUUACUGACGCAUUCUAUUACGGCAGCCAUCUAGACAUGUAACGCCAGGGCACAAUUCCCAAGGACGUCAGCAAUCUUUUUGAACUUGAGAAUUUGUAGCUACCUAGCAAAUGUACCAAGGAAUUCAUGGAAAGUGAACAACCACUUUAAAGACAACAUGAUUUGUCGAGUCAAGACACUCAGAAAUGCCUUUGAGAAACUGUACUGUGCUAAAGACCAGGGGCUAGUUCUAAGUACGUUGCAAUUAUUCUCAUGGUAAUCUUGUUCCAAAAACAAAGAUGGCGGGUACUUGCUUGGAAGUCACAUGCAGUGAUUUGUGAAGGAGGCCGCUCUGACAAUCCUCAAGAUAGAGUUCUUCAGGGAAAUGGGGAGGAGGUGGGCAAAAAGGGACGCUGUCCCUUCCUGCACAGAGAGGCAGAGACCCAUCUGAGCCAUUAAGGGUUGGAGCAGAUCUGCUCUGCGGACCCUCAUUCAGGAAGGUCAGAUCUGCGCACGGCACUGCGGUGGGAACGCACCGUCAUGGGGCCGGUUCAAUCUCCUAUUCGUCUCCAACUUCUCUUUGGCAUAAAGCCAACUCCACUCCAUGUAAACACGGGGCAGGAAGGACUCUAGAAAACACUCAGAGUGCUUCACGUGGAGAGAGCUAGCACGUGGAACACGAGAUUAAGGAUGCUAACGACACCACAAUCAGCACCACUGGGCUCACGAUCUAACAAAACCCAGGAGGAGCCCCUGGAACAUGUUACCGGUUGCUUUUCUGUUCGUUCUCUUGUCUGUUCUCUUGGAAUUGAGUGGGAUGCAGUUUCAAUUUGCCCAAGUAUCAAAGGACAUUCCCGCAUUAAUACUGGCACCUGCCCGUUCAUGCUACUGCCCAGGGACGGGGUUAAGAAGCCACUGGAGGCUGUGCUCUUACUUUCCUCCGAGAGGUCAUUCUCCUCUGCCUCUCUCUCCAUGUCCUUACACCAGCCUUCCAUCCUCUUGGUCUCCGUGUGUAGCAGCUUCACAAACCACGAGCCGUCCCUGCGGCACGGAGACAUCCUCCCGGUGUCUGCCGUCUCGACACACGGCUCCAGCCAGGGCUCGGGAGGGGGCAGGGUGGCAGUGUCCACGGGCGCCCUGUAGUCUUCUCUGUAACUAAAGACCCCCUGGGUCCGGACAGUCCUGACCGCCCCGUACUGGGUGGGUGUGCUGGGCUCCGAGUGCCGCUGGAAGGCGGGACCAAACUGCAGGCCCUUGUCCUCCAUGGUGACGCGUCCCGGGAAGCCCUCCAGCUCCAAGUCUGCUUGGACGGCGGCUGUCACGCUGUUCGAGCGCUUAAAACGUCCAUGUCUGCGGAGGCGGGAGGGAAGAAAAACGAAAGGCUUUCUGAGAUGACUUUCUGCGGCACACCUACGGCGAGCUCGCACACAGCACUCCUGCGAGGCAGCGAGCCAGCGGCUCAACGGAAGGUGAGCGUUUUCACCUCUACUGCCGCUGCUCUGGGGUCCCAGCUAUGAAAGCACAUUGGGUUUCGCUCAUAAGCAACCUCUGACAUGCACCUACGUCUCAGUGCCUACAUAAUGCCCACUAAAGACGUAAGUGUACUGGAGGGCACCGUGAGGAGAGCGGCCCGUGAGACCCCCCCGCCUUGGAACAGUGACCUCCCUUUGCAAAUCCGCCACAAGUUUACGAACUCCCGUGUGUGGCAUGCAGGUAAAAGUAAGGCUGCAUUGCUUCUUUCAUAUAAAUAACUUCUGUACCCUCUGACUUCUGGGGACACAUUUCAGGACGUGAGUUUCUCCUCCUUUCUGAAUAUCUUAAUAUCAUCUCCAUUAAGUCUUUUAUGCAAAAUAAUGAAUCUGAGCUCUGACUUUAGCAGGUGUUUGAAAAACAUUUUCAUCGUAUGUAUUUGGAGGCCACCCAUGCCUGCACAGCCAAUUACUGAAAUGAUGGGUAGGAAAGGGCUUGUAAUUGGAGUCCAGACAUUGCCGGGUGAGAACUCUGUGUGUGUGUGUGUGUGGGGGGGGGUGGGUGGUACAUCCACACUGUACCCUAACUAAACAUUCUGGCUUCUCCCCAUUUGAACCUGCAGAUGGCAAUAGCUGUGAGAGCAGCUGGUUAAUGAAUGUGCCACUUACUUUCUUUGCUGGAGGCAAACAAGAGAGCAAGCCAGGGAUGGGACGGAAGGCAGCAAGCCCAGAUUCCCCAGUGCAGAAGCCAUCCAGCCUCUGAGAGGUGUCUCCUGUUUGCUACGAGGACUGUGUGCAGCUAGGCCAUGUCAGAACACAGCAGAGACUGCAUUUCCCAUGGAGUCCUGAUCGUGGUUCUCCUUGCCAAAAUCUCUCCCAAACCCAGAAAGCAUUUCAGGACCAUGAGCAGGGACACACGAGGGAACUCUGAGACACUCCGUUUUGUGGAAAACAACAACAACAACAAAAAC